UACGUAGGGUGCGAGCGUUGUCCGGAUUUAUUGGGCGUAAAGAGCGCGUAGGCGGCCAGAUAGGUCUGCUGUGAAAACUCGAGGCUCAACCUCGAGAUGUCGGCGGAAACCAUUUGGCUAGAGUCCGGAAGAGGAAAGUGGAAUUCCUGGUGUAGCGGUGAAAUGCGCAGAUAUCAGGAAGAACACCCGUGGCGAAGGCGGCUUUCUGGGACGGUACUGACGCUGAGGCGCGAAAGCGUGGGGAGCGAACAGG
rnacentral:rRNA from 1 species